CCCUGCGCCCCUCAGGUGGCUCUGCUGGUUUUAACGCGUGUCUCUCUCUCCGAGUUGAAUCUACUCCAGGUGGUGCUGCGGGAAGACGGAAGCUUGGGUCCGGCCGCGAGAGUGGGAGGAGCAGAGGAACUCAGAGGUUUCAGAACUGUAAUUCCUGCUACCUGUAAAGCUGAAGCACCUCAGCAACUUAAUGACACCCUGUCUCAUCCAAUGAAUGAGUAAAAAAAUCAACAAGUACAAAA